CGCCACGCGGCCCGGCUUUGUUGGUAAACCGGCCAACUCCAGACCGCGCGGGGAGGGAGGUUACGGAGUGAGGCGGCUGCCUUCUGCUCGUGCUAAAAUGCAGCAGUGACUGGAAGGACGACACGCUCUCCCAUGAUGAAGUAUUGCCAGGUACUGAUUUCUCACCACUAGAAUCAUUGAUGUAAAGGCUGGAUGACUGCUGGACAGAGAUACUGUGGAAAGAUUCUGCUAUGGACUGAAUUGUGUCCGCCCUCCGCAACCCAGUCAAACGGAGCCAGAAGGUUGUCUGUACUGUCGGGCUACAGUGUGUACUUGGACUUAUCCUUGGGGUGGGGAGCCCGGGGGAGCAAGGCCAGAUGAACCAGCCAGGAGCCAGGUGGGUCCUGGCGGAUCUCAUUGUGCAUCCAGACCCUAACUUUGACACCAAGAGGAAGUUGCUGAACAAGAGGCUGCUCCACUCUCUGCUCAGCUGAGUGAGAAUCUAUCCUAAUUCUGAAGACAUCCUGGGAAGAGGACCUCACCAGCUCUCUCGUUAUUGCUAAUGGGAAACAUCCAUCACUUGGUGGAAAAUUCGUCUGAAGGACAUCUAAUUUCCUCAUAGCAUUGGAGUUUAUUCCUAUUUCCUUCAAAUGAGUCUUCAGUGACGACCACAUAAAAUUUCUGUUAGCCAACCAUUUUAAAGAAACGGGAUUAAAGGAGGUAGAGUGUAUAAGGUCUUAGAACAAGAUCUGGCACCUAAAAGGAUCUCUAAGUAUGUGAGCUGCUGUAAUAAUAACAAUCAUGAUCAUCAUUGCAGAGGGAGAUAUCAGGGUCUUUGUCUGUCUGCUGAUAAAGGAAUAUCAAGUAAUUUCGGGAUUAGCAGCUCUGACUGCCUGGGGGUGGUUGGUUUGGGUGUCGUACCCUGAGGCUUCAUGCCUGCUCCGUGGGCAGGAAUGCAUGCUUAGUGGCUGAGAUGGGUGAGCGCAGGGGGCCAUGGAAGGGACAGCUGCACUUGUGCCAGCUGUUUGCUAUCCAGUGAUGCUGACUGCAAGCUCUUGGGGAGCAGGGACCCCAUUUUGUUAGCCUUGAGUCCCUAGUACUUAGCACAGUGCCAAGCACAGAAAGACACAAUAUAUAUUGAAUCCUUAAAUAUUGACUAUUAUAAAAAUCACUCCACAAAAUAUUUAUGUUAUCGUAUGAAUGUUAUUCCUGUCUCCCAGUAUGGUAUUAUAAUUUAAAAAAAUUUGUCCUCGAACAUAUUGCUGUUUCUCAGUCGGCCCCCUCUUUUUCCUCUUUUGUGUUUUUUUUUCUUUGGCCAGAGAGGUCCUGGUGAGUCUCCUCUGAAGGUGCUUUCAGUUCAUCCAGGCUCUUUGUGAGAGAGAGAGGCCAGAAUUAAACCCUGCGUCUUGUUACAACCUUGAGCAUUGUGACGCAUUCUGACAUUUUGUGCUCUGUGCUGACGCUUCCUGGUACCACGCUGGCUUCGUCUCUAUGUGAGGAAUGACUAAGUUCAAGGUCAUGUGAGGUGUCGCAAUGUCUGAGACAAUAGGAUCGGAGGCUUCCGUACAAAAUUUCACCCUGACUGGGGUUGUUGACCACUUUGUAAAGGGAGCUGUGAAAGUUCUUGCUGGGUGCCUUCAUGAUCUUUAGCUCUUAGAAGGCUGUCAGAGCAGCCAUAAAGGUUGAGAAAUGAAAACCCUGGGGCUGGACUAAGGAAUUGCUCACUUUAAGCUCCAGCACUGUCUCUGCUGUUCUGCAGCUGCCUGAGUCACGCUGCUAAACCCAUCUGUUUACAUGAGGUUGAAGAAGGGAAAAGGUGGAGAAGAGAGGGAAGAACAUCUUUUAAAAAACUCUCUUAGAGUGGAUGCCGUGCUAUCAUUCUUCCUCCCACCUCCAUCUUUUUUGUGGCCCAAAUCACGCACUGUAGGAUUUAUUUUUCUAGGGCCGAGGGUGGAGGGUGAAUAGGGUGGACUGGAGCAGAAAGAGGGGACCAUAUCCAAGGGGUGAGAAUUUUGCAUCCAACCAGGUCAAUAGUGGGAAGGAGUCGAGGGCUGCUUUCAUUCCGUUUCUCUUGGGUUGGGUGGAUUUCUAGGAAUCGGUGACCGCUCUCCUGACUCCUCCAGUUAUUUUCUCUCUUAGUCUAUCUCCUGACCUUUCAGAACAAGAGGGCUUGCAAAACGGAGUGUGGUGGAUAGAAUGGAGAGGCUUAUGUGGGAGAUGCUUUCUAUGUCCUUACGUGGCUAGAUCGCCCUUACCCUGGGGGCUGCCAACCUCUGGGACGACCAGAGAAUCCUCUGGAGCUUUCGACUGGAAUGGCUGCUCCUGGUGGUACAGUUCGGCCCAGACAAUGUAGGUCCAGCAGGCUUUUGGAGCUCCCUCUUUCCGCGUCUCUGGCUUUGGACCUAGAGCAUUAGCUUGGAGCACACGAGCUCUUACGGACCAAGUGAGCAGUGAGCACUCUUGUCUAAGUCUCAGAAUCCAGCACUGAAUUUCGCUACAUCACCUGCCCCAACUUUGUCCAUAAAAGUGCAUCCUUUCUGUGCUUCCCUCUCUUUUAAAUGAAAUGACAGCCAGGAUGGGGCCCUCUUGCUUUAGGAGGAUGCAUGGUGGUGUCUGAGCUAGGAAGGCAGAGGGAGUGAAUGGAGGAAAGUGUCAUCAAGCCCAAGGCCAACCCAUUCUUGUCACUUCCUUCGCCUCUCUCCUCAGCACAGGAGUUGCGUGUAGAGAGAUCAGGCACUCUGUAGUCACAGCUGUGUGGGGCCACAAAUACACUGGCAAUACUUCACCCAAUACUUGUAGUCAUCUCUUGUUAAUUUAACUCAGGCAAGUGUCCUUGGCAUUAAGAACAGGGAAAUGUUGUUAUGGAGAGUUGCAAUUUCUCAGAAGGUAUCAUCCUUGAAACUUUCACACUAUUAAACAAAAGUUUUUAAGGUAAAGACUGAAACGUACAUCCCCAGCACUCUAUUAGCAAACAAAAUGGGAAAAUUUUCUCUGAUGGAAAGGCAGCCUAGCAAAGCAAGAGCCAACACUGGCUUAAAUGGUCAAAUGUCCAAACUCUGUAGCUAGGCUGCCUGGGUUCAAUUCCUGGCUUUACUGGCUGUGUGACCUUGGCCAAGCUACUUAACUUCUCUGUGCCUCUAUUUCCUCUUCUGUUAAAUGGGGGUGAUGAUAACACUGGUGUCAUGAGGAUUAAAUGAGCAAGUAUAUGUAUAGGACUUGGCACAUGUUAAGUGCUAUAUAAGAGUUUGUUAAAUAAAUAAGCUUCUCUCCUCAC